GGAGUCCACAGCUGCUGAAUCUGAAGGGCCAUCAGAAGACUGGCUUCUCCAUGAUGGUUCAUGGACUAAGGCAAAGAUGAGCAGAGCCAUGGCCCUCUUCUUUGUUCUCUGCUGGAUCCAAGUUAUUGUUAUUAUUUUUGAGAUAGGUUCUCCCUCUGUCACCCAGAGCUGGAGUGCGGUGGCAUAAUCACAGCUAAUUGCAGCCUCAACAUUCCAGGCCCAAGGAUCCUCCCUUCAGCCUUCCAGGUAGCUGGGACCACAGAGAUGGGGUUUCAUCAUGUUGGCCAGGCUGGUCAUGAACUCCUGACCUCAAUGGAUCCUCCUGCCUCAGCUUCCUGAGUAGCUGGGACCACAGGUGCACACCACCAUGCCCAGCCUCCCAGAGUGCUGGGAUUAAAGACGUGAGCCACGGCACCUGGCCUGAAUUUUCCUCAAAUUCAAAAAAUGCUGAUGAAGGUUUGGCUAAAAUCUUUGGUGAGUUACCCCACUCCCUGUGGAACCUCAGGCUGGAUUUGAAGAGUUGCGUGCAUGGUCCUCAUUGUCUCCCAGGUAACCUGUUCCCGCUGCUGUGAAGGGAAGGCAGGUGCUCUUCCUUGAGGCUAGAAUCUGUCUACGUGUCACAGUCUCAGGAAAUUAAGCAAAACAGAUGAUAAACACCUCAAAAGGACCCUACUGAGCAUGAGUGGAGCAGACCAGGGCCAUAU
rnacentral:sRNA from 1 species